GACAGAGGAUGCAAGCGUUAUCCGGAUUGAUUGGGCGUAAAGCGUCUGUAGGUGGUUACGCUAGUCGGCUGUUAAAGAUCAGGGCUGAACCCUGAGCAAGCAGUCGAAACUGCGUGGCUGGAGUACGGUAGGGGCAGAGGGAAUUCCCGGUGUAGCGGUGAAAUGCGUAGAUAUCGGGAAGGACACCAAAGGCGAAAGCGCUCUGCUGGGCCGAAACUGACACUGAGAGAACGAAAGCUAGGGGAGCGAAUGGGAUUAGGAAACCCUGAGUAGUCCC
rnacentral:rRNA from 1 species